GACGAACGCUGGCGGCGUGCUUAACACAUGCAAGUCGUACGGUAAGGCCCUUUCGGGGGUACACGAGUGGCGAACGGGUGAGUAACACGUGAGUAACCUGCCCACAACUUUGGGAUAACGCUAGGAAACUGGUGCUAAUACUGGAUAUGUGCUCCUGCUGCAUGGUGGGGGUUGGAAAGCUCCGGCGGUUGUGGAUGGACUCGCGGCCUAUCAGCUUGUUGGUGGGGUAGUGGCCUACCAAGGCGGCGACGGGUAGCCGGCCUGGGAGGGUGACCGGCCACAUUGGGACUGAGAUACGGCCCAGACUCCUGCGGGAGGCAGCAGUGGGGAAUAUUGCACAAUGGGCGCAAGCCUGAUGCAGCAACGCCGCGUGCGGGAUGACGGCCUUCGGGUUGUAAACCGCUUUCAGCAGGGACGAAGCUUUUUGUGACGGUACCUGCAGAAGAAGCACCGGCUAACUACGUG
rnacentral:rRNA from 1 species